AUCGUGAGGUUCAGGCGAGAAGAAGGGAUAGCGAAAUCGUAGCCUGACGAACAGGAACCUGAUACAAAGGCGCAUUAAGCGUGUAAGAUGACGCAAGACAUUGAAGCCCAAAAAGGUAACCGUAAUCUUAAUGUGUAAAUCAGGCAGGUAGACG
rnacentral:ncRNA from 1 species